UUCUUGGAAACAGCCAACAUCCAGUUGGAGCUUUUGGCUGCUGUUGUAUCCUGAGCUGGUGGCUUCAGGGAAGUGUCCAUGGCAAUGCUGUGCUCUCCUUCCCAAGCUGCAGCUGGCAGCUCUGAGCCCAGCAGAGACUGAAGAGGACCGGGGUGUUUUCUGGUGUCUUUGUGUUUUAGUAAGAGAUUGUAGUGAACUGCAGGGAGAAAGGCUGAUGAGUCAGUAAGAAACAGCCAACAUAUUCCAGGAGAAUAAUCUCAGGUGUAAUUAUUAACAGGUUUAUGUUUUAUGGAACAGGUGUUUGGUGUUUUUUGUUAAUGUUUUUUUUUUAAAGGCACAGCAUCUUCUCUAGCAUUACUCGUAGAGCAUUAUUUAUCCUAGAGAGGAGAGUGCAAAUAACUUGAUUGUGUCUUUUCAGCGCUCUCUUCUUGAUGCUCCCCAUUCUCUCUCACUGCAGCAGCGCUUCCUGAGGGAAUCUGCAUCCUCUGCCUGAUUUCUCUGAUUGCUGGAGCUGCUGAACUUCCUACAGAAGAGGCCCAGCAGCAGCAGGUAGGGUGAGGCAGCCGCUGAAGAAACACUCCCAGGUAUGGACAGUGCUUGAAUACCCACGUGGCUUUUUUUCCUUUUUCCUCCACCCAACCAAUGAACUUCGUGUGACCCCUCCCAGCAGCGCCGCUCAUUUGUUUAAUCAGCGAUUAAACUGGAAUUUUACUUCGCUUCCAAACACGCUCUAUCAGUCCUUACAUUCCCUUCCAUUUAUUUAUUUAUUUUGAACUAGAGGGAAGGCAGUAGAAAAAUACAUCAUUAAAGCAGCGUGGCAUAACUUAAAAGGAGAAACCAUCACAGAUGUGGUGACUGUGGGACUGAGGAGGCUUUAAGCCCUGCAGAAAACUGCUGUUCCAGAAGGACAGAACGUAGGACCCAGCAUCUGUUAGGAAGAAGUUAUGGCACAAGUGCCCUUGUUGGCUCUUGCAGUCCUUUCCAAGCUCUCCUUUAGGCACAGUUUAAGACAUUAAGACUGACUUUGACACAGCACGUGUCAGCACCACAACAAAGAAAACCAAGCAAACCACACCCAAGUGUGAACCCUGCAGGUAAAGUGCAAUAAAAAAAUGAGUGCUGGUAUCUUGCAAGAUCAAUGCAGAUUUCUUUUCUUCCUUGUUGUGUUUCUUUUUAAAAAUACUGCUUGUUUUCAUCAGUGAAUGCAGAACUCACCCCAUGAUUCCAUGAGCUCUUUUCUGAGUAGAAAAAGCAAACUUAGACCUCAUCAUUGUGUAAUUACAGCCAAGCUAGCUUUGCCCCUUCAUAUUUGCAUUCAUUAGCAUUUUGUUUUGCCUGUAGCUUGAUUGCCCAGUGGUGUGAGAUCCUUUCCUGACUCUUUCCAGACAGUUUGGAUGCCCUGAGUAGUUCCACAUCCAUAUCAUGAGUAGAUUUCUCACUUCACUGUUUACUUAUUUUCCAGCUCACUGGUGACUCUUGUACAAUUUGGGCCUCUGCACAGAUGCAUGCUUUGUUAUUGCUCUACACGUUAGAGGUUUAUAAAACAAGUCUGUAGUUACGGUGUGACUUGGUGUGCCCAGCACAGUGCAGGCCUGCAGAGAUUAACUGAUUUUAUCCAUCUCCUUCCUGGGGCUUAUUGGUUGCUGUGAGGCACUUUGGAUUUGAUUUGCCUGCUGAAAGGUGCAAUUGCUGAUCUGGCCGCUGAGGAAUCAUCACCACCACCAGCGCAUCUCCUGGCAAAGCAAAGCACCUCCUUUCAUAGAAGCUGCUGAGUCUCAGGCGCCUUUCCCUAAACAGGGGAUUUUUGGUGGAGUUAAACAUUAACACUGUUCACAGUUCCCAUCUGUUCAAGGUCCAAGAGAGAAGCUGUGCUGAGUCAGCCCUGGCAGCUGUAUUUCCUGCUCCAGUUCUCUCCUUUUGCAUGAUUCACUCACUCCAACUCCCUGCCAGGAAGCCUUGGUCCUGGGUGAGACAGUAAGAGGCAGAGGGAUCUCCUGCUGUCCUGCACCAGGAUACUGGAGACCAGCUCCUGUGUGUCCUGGCUGCCCUGCGAGUAAUGUUGGUGCUGCAAGGAAAGGAGGGAAACUCACAGUCACCAAAAGACUUGCUUGAGCUAUUCAGGAAUUUUCUUUGGCUGUUAGCAGUCCUGUGCUCUUGCCACAUGGCAUUUUUCCUUCCAGGCAGCGCUGGACAAUGGCUGUGAAUGCAUGGGCAGCUUAUUGUUUGGCUGCGUAUGUUGCUUUCAUAUGGGCACUUGAACUAAAAGGGUAAAUCCUUUGAACUGUGGCGUUUUCAAGAGCGCAGCACAUUAGCCGGGAAGGAGGGUGGGCAGAUGAGAAGAGCUGUUGUAUUUAAUAUUGCUGCCACAGUAGUACACUGCAGCACUGCCAGGACUUUGGGCGUAGCCAGUCUGACAUGGGAAACAUUGUUCAGUGCUGUUGCCUGGCUGCCGCUUGGAGCUGGAGCUCUGUGCUGCCUGCUUGGUGCUGAGGGUUGGAGUCAGACCCAGCAACUGCUGCUCAUCCACUUGGAGAGGCACCGAUGCCACCCCGGUGGGUUUGGUUCUGCCUGGACAGCACUCAGUUUGCUUCAGCACCGGUGGCAGUUUGUGAAAUUGCAACUGCAGGAUCUGCUGAGCUCAGACCUGCAAACAGAGCCAAGAGUCUCUCUGGCUUUGGAUAAAACUUUGCUGUGGUUACAUGGAUCAUGUGAUGGCGCAGCUGAUCUUUCCAGCAUUCGGUGCUCUUGCUUUAGGCUUCCUCAGCUGUGCAAAGAGUUCAAAAAUUGUCCCCCUGUAUAACUGCUACUUAUUGAUACUAGGACAACAACUUCCAGGAGUUGUUGAGGAAACUCCUCUGCCUGCAUUCCUGUUUAUCAGAGACUCCUUCCCCGCAUGCCAGCCCAUCCACAAAGCCUUCAACAUCCCCAGCUGUGGGAUUUCUGAACAGAUGCAGCUCCUCCCUGCAGCACAGUGGCUCCCUUCCCUGCUCAGGACAGCGUGCCACGUCGGUCAGUUCCUCAAGAGCUUUGGCUGCCAGAAUCGAGUGAGUUAAAUCAGGUCUAAGCUGCACUCUGAGUCCUCUUCAAGACAUGUUGACAGAGAAAUGUAUGCCUUGAAACAACUUGAAAAGAAGAACUGUAGGAAGGGAAAAGAGUAGGAAAAGGCAUCGGCUGUGAGCGCCUGCCCUCUCCUGAGAUCUCUCCCCCUGCAAAGAGUGCAGCCCUGGCUCCUCUGUGACCUCUUUCUUCCUGCAGGGUAAUGAAAGUCAGCACGCUGUAAUGGCAGGCUGAAAGUCAGCUGCUCUGCCACAGGGUUUGUCCUCCGGAUAGAUGAAAGGAAAGUGGUUUGGUGUCCAAACGACUGUCACAGCUUUAAAGAAGAAUUAAAGCCAGAUGUUUCCAACCAGCCUGCUGAGAACAGCCUUUUCUGACAUUUUUGCCAAGCCAUCAAGGAGACCCAGCCAGUGUCUGCAGUGCUGCAUGUUGGGAAAAUGCUGUGAUCCCAAAAGCUGUGCUGCAGUUGCUGGAGCACCCAGGCUGUGCAUCCACAGGGCUGGGACACAGUGCUGCCAGCUCAGUGGUUGUGCACCAUGUAUCAGUAUUUACUCCUCACUGAUAAUGGAGAUGAUAGCAAGAUCGUAGUGAACACAUCAAAUUCAACACUUUUUGCCUUGGGAAAAGGUACUGUAGGUAUUGAAGGUAUUGUAACUGGGCUGGCAUCAGCUCUCAGGUUGGUGGCUUGUAAUGGUCAAUAGAGUCCAGAAAGUCAUCCCUGUCCCUGGCUGUGCUUGGGCUGAUGUUCAGUCUAACAGGCAGAUAGAGCUUUGCCACAGUGGGAUCCCAUCAGAACAAGGAAGAAUGCAUUUUAGUCUCUCCUCACACACACAGCGUUUGUAUUCAGCUGCAACUGAAGCCAGUGACUGUUCCUGUGUGGGUAGAAGUGAGGUGAAAGCUGAGGAAUAGGGAAACGGGAUCCUUGCCUCGCUGUAAUCAGGGAGAGAUCUGCACUUCCCACUUUGCUGGGAGUAACCCAGACCUCAGGACUGCUGGGUGUGUGGUUCCAGCUCACACCCAGAGGUAAUUAAUCUUUUUGCCAGCGUAGCUGCUCCAGGCUUCUGACUACAAUAAGUAUUGCUCUUUGCCUUUGUCAGCCUGCCUUGCGGUUACAGCGUUCACCUUCUGGCCUCUUCAGGAUAAAUUCCUGAUGCUGUGCCCUCAGCGCUGCUUUGAGGUGGAGUUUCCUCUUGCGAAAUCAGUGGGCGCUGGAAAUGUCCUCUUGGCUCCAGUGCCUGGGAAAGGUUUUGCUCAGUGUUCUAUGGGGAUGUGCCGCAGCCUCCUCUUCCUCCUGCCAGCAUGUUUCCUCCUCUGGAGCAGCAGAUGAGGUGCUCCUGAGAUGCCAUGUGCCACCGGAUCACUGUCUGUAGCAGGGAAGUAAAUGAUAAAUUCAGAAGGUGCAAAAAUAAAUAGAGAAGAGGAAAGAUAGGAUGCAGAAAAUCCCAGUUUUUACUGGCAUCCACUCAUAAUCAGAUAAUUUGACCAAUAACGAAAAAUAAACCCCUCUCUCAUCUGACUCUACAAAGCCGAGCCAUAAAAAGGAGCUUUCUUCCGUGCCCUUCAUUUGUUCUCACAAUACAACAUCUCAUUUCAGCGUGUGCAUCAAUUCAUUCUGCUCCGCCACAUCACGGACAGAGGCACGAUUGUUUCUGCUGCGAUUCCAAAACCAACUGUGCAGAGAAAGCCUUUGGGAGCUGCUUGGUGAGGCGGGCAUUGGGCUGCUGGCACUUCGGGUGGAGCUCAGGGAAAGCUGUCGGCCUCACCACCCUCCUGUGCAUCUCAGAUGUGCCGAUCAGUGAGAUGCCUGUGGGAUCUGCCAUCUGGGCCAUCAAUUUGAGGCACAGCUUGUGCCACCACCUCUAAUCUCUUCAAUGGACUUCGAUUACCUCUCUGGCUCAAACUCGUGCGAUUUGCUGGGCUGUAAUUGCAGGAAUCCCCUCGGUGGUGUCACUGCUGCUGGGUCCCUGUGAGCAGUGAGUGGAAGAGUGCAAUCCUUGUGCUCACGAACCACAGAAUCGUUAAGGUUGGAGAAGGCCUCUAUGGUCAUCCAGUCCAACUCCAACCCACCCCACCAUGCCCAUAACCACGUCCCUCUGUGCCACAUCUCCAUGGUUCCUGAACCCCUCCAGGGAUGCUGACUCCAUCACUCUCUGGGCAGCUGUGCCACUGCAUCUCCACUCUUUUGGAGAAGGAAUUUUUCCUACUGUCCAUCCUGAUGCCUCCAACAGCGGAGAUUUGUCCCUUCCUGUCAGUCAGAAACUUGUCUCCAACGUGAGAGUAUCUCCAAUAUGAAUCCACUAUGUGGUGCACAGAGUAAGAGACUGAAGUUCCAGUGGGCUCAGCUGAGCCCUUCCCACGUGGAUGCGGUGACACUGGGUGUACAGUGGUGGAUUUGUGCCAUUUCUGUAUCAGUGCCAUCUGGAUGAAAUCCUGCGGUGGCCGAAGGCCUCUCCUCGUCUCCAUGCGCUCCCCCAGUCGUGGGAGCCCCAGUUCGUUCCCCUGACGAAGGGCUGAGGGCGAAGGAUCAGAAUUUGGGCUUAUUUCCGUCAAACAAAGCGCCAGGACCACGCUUGGCGCCCGGCUCCGGCGCAGCGACCUCCAGUCCGCAGGGGGGCGCUGC